rnacentral:rRNA from 1 species
GGUGUUAGACCCGUUGGAGUGUACUCGGUGGCUAUUGAUGUUUCCUAUGAGUCGGAUUGUUUGAGAAUGCAGUCCAAAUUUGGUGGUAAACUCCAUCUAAGGCUAAAUACUUGUAUGAGUCCGAUAGCAAACAAGUACCGUGAGGGAAAGUUGAAAAGAACUUUGAAGAGAGAGUUAAAUAGUACGUGAAAUCGCUUAGAGGUAAACGAGUGGAGCCGAAAAAGUCGAAUGGGAUUCAGUUGGGUGUAUGAUGAUGAUCGUUUCGGUGAAAACCACAAAAGGCAUUACUGUUUCGGUAUGUUUGUUGUACGCACAAUGCACUUUCUGUUUGAUUAAACUGUGACCAAUAGAGUUGUUUUACUGUCGUAAUGUUGAAGGUGACCAUUUGCUUGCAAUUGGUUUUAUAGCUCAUUGCACGGUGAAAUUAAUGUAUUGGUGAAUAUGCAAUCAGUCAACGUUGGUAGUAUGUUAUAUAUGCGGUUUGGUAGCUGGCUACAUGUAGACUGUUAUUAAAUCGUGUGUGUGAUGUAGUGCCGAUGGAUUGGUUUAAAGUCACAGUAUAAUGUAGGUUAUCUACUCGUCCCGUCUUGAAACACGGACCAAGGAGUUUUAUAUGAUCGCGAGUCAAAGGGCUGUACGAAACCCCAGGGCGCAAUUAAUGUAAAGGUUUACUUCUAGUAGACUGUGAUGUGACCUGAAAGUGUUUGGUCACAAGCCAAAUGCAAUCAGUGCAACAUCGACCCGUCUAAAGAUGUUCGCAUCUGGGCGGAGUUUGAGCGAUCAUGUAGAGACCCGAAAGAUGGUGAACUAUGCUUGUGCAGGUUGAAGUCAGAGGAAACUCUGAUGGAGGACCGCCGCGGUUCUGACGUGCAAAUCGAUCGUCGGACAUGAGUAUAGGGGCGAAAGACUAAUCGAACCAUCUAGUAGCUGGUUCCCUCCGAAGUUUCCCUCAGGAUAGCUGGCGUUUGUUGUCGUAGUUUUACCUGGUAAAGCGAAUGAUUAGAAGUAUUGGGGGCGAAAUGCCCUCAACUUAUUCUCAAACUUUAAAUGGGUUCGAUGUGUAGCUCGCUUCAUUGGAGUUGCACGUUGAAUACGAAUGCCUAGUGGGCCAUUUUUGGUAAGCAGAACUGGCGAUGUGGGAUGAACCAAACAUUCGGUUAAGGUGCCUAACAUCACGCUCAUGAGAUCCCACAAAAGGUGUUGGUUGAUAAAGACAGCAGGACGGUGGACAUGGAAGUCGUCAUCCGCUAAGGAGUGUGUAACAACUCACCUGCCGAAUCAACCAGCCCUGAAA